GACGAACGCUGGCGGCGUGCUUAACACAUGCAAGUCGAACGGAAAGGCCCUGCUUUUGUGGGGUGCUCGAGUGGCGAACGGGUGAGUAACACGUGAGUAACCUGCCCUUGACUUUGGGAUAACUUCAGGAAACUGGGGCUAAUACCGGAUCGGAGCUCCUGCUGCAUGGUGGGGGUUGGAAAUUUUCGGCGGUUGGGGAUGGACUCGCGGCUUAUCAGCUUGUUGGUGGGGUAGUGGCUUACCAAGGCUUUGACGGGUAGCCGGCAUGAGAGGGUGACCGGCCACAUUGGGACUGAGAGACGGACCAGACUCCUACGGGAGGCAGCAGUGGGGAAUAUUGCACAAUGGGCGGAAGCCUGAUGCAGAAACGCCGCGUGCGGGAUGACGGCCUUCGGGUUGUAAACCGCUUUCGCCUGUGACGAAGCGUGAGUGACGGUAAUGGGUAAAGAAGCACCGGCUAACUACGUG
rnacentral:rRNA from 1 species